rnacentral:lncRNA from 7 species
CUGUAUACAGCUACCCAGGAUGGAUACAUAGAAAGGAGGAUUUCUAGUGCACAAAAACACACCAGAAAAGAAGUAUCUGAUAACUGCACACUGAAGAGGAGAGAUUAGGCUAACAAAUCAUCCUUCUUAGAUUUGCAUCCUCCCUCAUGCUCUCUACAGGACAAAGUGGGUAUCACAUCAGAGUGAGCAGAGUCUUACCUCAUUCAUCUCAUUCAUCUUCACCUUGAUACAGGUACAGCCUUGCAAGUCUUGACAGAAAACUAUGGUCACUGAGAAAGAUGUAAAAAGCAAGAGUAGAAUCGAGGCCUCCACCAUGUGGAAAAUGCAUGGAGCCAAAGUAUCUGACAAAUCCUGCUUUACUUAAUGAGUGUGCGUAUGAUGCAUCAAAUUCCAUCUAUUUCUUCAUAAAUCAGGUUAGAGACAGUUUCCCACAAAACCUUAACUUAAUGCUGCAUUUUAUGUGAUCCAAAUAUCUAUAAGCUAAUUACUAAUGUUUAUCCACUGUUCAGCAUGCUCUGUACCACUGUAGCAAGCAUGACUCUUUAGAAACCCAAACAUCUGUUUUCAGGGCUGCGUUCGUACCCAGCUUAGAAACUUCCAAGGGAAUUUAUAUUUAUGAUUACCAUCACACUUUGGAUUUGGCGUUGUCAACUUAUUCUUCAGUCUCUCAUAAUUUUUUUACUGUGAUAUGCCCUUGUCUAUUUGCUUCCAUUAACCUCUCAAGUCAAUUCUGGGUAGCUAGACUGAGCACUAGCUUAACAACACACUACUUUU